AUUCAUUCAAACAGAGGCUGUGUGUAAAGAAGGCUUGAUUUAAUGGCUGUUGCAAGUGUUUGAUGGUUAUCACUUAAGAUAGUUGUGUACAAGUAGGAUGGGCAACGACAGGCUGCCAUUCUGCAGCAGACAUCAGACUAUAUUCAGCAAUUAGAAAGUGACAAGACCAGACUUUUGGCUAUCAACAACCAGCUGAGCACCCAGCUUAAACGCUUACUAGGAAGCGAUUAUGAAAAGCAAGUCUCGGUCAACUACAACCCGUCACCUCCGACGAAGCGGAAGAAGCGAGAUACAGAAUCAUCAGAUGAGGGAAUAUCGGCAGACUUUGAAGACAUCAAUGAAAUUAAGCGAGAGAUGAUAGACCUGCGAUGCCAGCUUGACAGAGAGAGACAUUUGCGAAUGAUGUUACAGAAACAAAAUCAAUCACUUCAUUUGAAGCAAGAACAUCAAACAACAGUUGAAGAUAUUCCAGAAAAGAGAUCAAAGGAUAAAGUGGUUUACGUGGAACAGGUAGAAUCUGAGGAGGAUGACAAAAUGCAGGAAAGGAAUUCUGAUUCUGAAUCCAUGUCUCGCAGAAACUUGGAGACAAUUGUGGAAGCAAUCCGACACCUGGAAGGGGACCGUUUAGGGUUUAAUGAACGAACAACACAUCACCGAGGCAUUCCUCAUAGUGACGAGAGUGAGAAAGAAAGUAGUGUUACUUGUAGUGAACCGGAAGACCGUGACUCUCCUAUUCCAUUUGAGAAAAUAGACUCCAGACAAUCUGUCACAGAAGUUCAACUGACAGAACUACAUCCCCACCUCUCAUCAUCACAAUAUCACGAGAAGUUCCCCAUCGCCACUAAUCUAUUACAUCGACCAAACAUGGUACAUUACUACUGUCGACCAAAUGUCAUAGUUCAGAAGUCAUAAGAUCAGCCUUGUAGAUUCUUCAUUCUUCAUCCAUCCCGCCACUCUGUACAUAGUAACUUCAUGGUUCCAUUGACAUUAAAAGAAAAACUGCCCUUUUCAUACGAAAUGUGUUUGUAUACUUUAUGUAAUGUGUCAUUCGAUUAUUUCAGAAGAGUGCUUCUCACCCAAGGAACUGCUCAAUUUUUUGUAACUGUAUACAGUUUGUGAUGUCCUCAAAUCUUUAUUGCCUUUAAUACUGAAUCAUUUCUUUACGAUAGAUUCAAUUAUCAAAAUUUAAUAUUAAUUUUUCUUUGAAAAGUAAAAAAAAUAAUUAAAUUUGGGGAAUUGUUCUUUUGAAGAUAUGGAAGGGAGGCAUUUUAUUUUCAUUUCUUGUAAUUUAUUGAUCAUGUACAUUUGUAAAUAGGUCGCCGUCAUUGUAUCAAACUUUGUUAUUGCAGUUGUUAAGUUUUAUUUUUGUAUGAAAGAGUUGUCUGUUGAAGCCACAAAAUGCUGCUCUUUCAAAUUUUUAUUAAAGUUUUUUUUUCAAGAAAAUUGAAUUGUGAAUUGAAUGUUUUCCAUAUAGCUUUCUUGUGAGUCUGUGGUGCUUAUUGUAACAAACCUGAGUAAAUUUAACUGCUAGCAUUCAAUCACUGAGGCAUUCUCCAGAUGCACAGAAUUUACAUAGGAGAGUGAGUGUUUGUGUAGUAAAUGUUAAUGUGUACAUGUUAUUGUUUAGCAAUGUAUGGGUCACUGUCAAUGACCAGCAAAAUGCACAUAGCAAUGCAUACUUCACCCCUAAUACCUGAAGAUUGGGAUUUUUGACAGAUUCCAACUUCAGUGGAGAGGGGGAUGAUAUGUGGCAAUUGUUGUUUGUUGUUAAUGUUUGAGUUGUUAUUUGCUAAAACAAAUAUGAUCUAUAUCUUUCAAGUCUUUGUGAUGAGGCUUCUUUAACCCUUUCUUGAAGUAAAUGAUAACUGAUUAAAAAAAGAGGUAGCUUUGGUGAUACAAAUUGUGAAGCAAGCAUUUAUGACUAGCUGCAUUUUUAUUCACAAACAUGUAUAUACCAUGUUAUUUAUUGUUUGAUAUUCAGUUGUAUUUGAUUUUAAAAUCUGUAAACAUGAACUGGAAAUAUUUUUAGCUUUAUUCUGGGUUUUUUUUGUUGUUGAAAAAAAUUACAUAAUUUGUUUGGUUGUCAAAGCCAUGCAAUGUUUAUUUACAUAAAUUCUUCCUUAAUGCAUAAGUUAGUGCUACAAAAGUUUUUAUUAAAAUACUUUUGCUAAUUUUGUAACUUUUUUAUGUGAAGGAUGCUUACAAAUUGAUACUAUUUUCUGUUUCUUUAUAUUAGAGUUUGUUUUUCUGGAAAUUCAAUCUGGAGGUACAAUAAAUUGUGGUAAAUGU
rnacentral:misc_RNA from 1 species